rnacentral:rRNA from 1 species
CCUACGGGAGUCAGCAGUGAGGAAUAUUGGUCAAUGGACGCAAGUCUGAACCAGCCAUGCCGCGUGCAGGAAGACGGCUCUAUGAGUUGUAAACUGCUUUUGUACGAGGGUAAACGCAGAUACGCGUAUCUGUCUGAAAGUAUCGUACGAAUAAGGAUCGGCUAACUCCGUGCCAGCAGCCGCGGGAAUACGGAGGAUUAAAGCGUUAUCCGGAUUUAUUGGGUUUAAAGGGUGCGUAGGCGGGCGGAUAAGUUAGAGGUGAAAUCCCGAGGCUCAACUUCGGAAUUGCCUCUGAUACUGUUCGGCGAGAGAGUAGUUGCGGUAGGCGGAAGGUAUGGUGUAGCGGUGAAAUGCUUAGAGAUCAUACAGAACACCGAUUGCGAAGGCAGCUUACCAAGCUACUUCUGACGUUGAGGCACGAAAGCGUGGGGAGCAAACAGGAUUAGAUACCCCUGUAGUC